GGAAAUAAAAGUCGUAACAAGGUUUCCGUAGGUGAACCUGCGGAAGGAUCAUUAUUGAAUGAAACACUUCUGGCUUUAUGCUGUUGUGCUGGCCCUUUGGGCAAUGUGCACACGGCUCUGGUCACUUGUUUCUUCUGUUCCACCUGUGCACUGCCUGUAGACACGCUGUGUCUAUGAUAUUUGUUAACACACAACAAUGUUAGUUGGCAUGUUAUAUAUAAUAAUAAAAUAUACAACUUUCAACAACGGAUCUCUUGGCUCUC
rnacentral:misc_RNA from 1 species